GAGUUUGAUCGUGGCUCAGAUUGAACGCUGGCGGCAUGCCUUACACAUGCAAGUCGAACGGCAGCAUGAUCUAGCUUGCUAGAUUGAUGGCGAGUGGCGAACGGGUGAGUAAUACAUCGGAACGUGCCCUGUAGUGGGGGAUAACUAGUCGAAAGAUUAGCUAAUACCGCAUACGACCUGAGGGUGAAAGUGGGGGACCGCAAGGCCUCAUGCUAUAGGAGCGGCCGAUGUCUGAUUAGCUAGUUGGUGGGGUAAAGGCCCACCAAGGCGACGAUCAGUAGCUGGUCUGAGAGGACGAUCAGCCACACUGGGACUGAGACACGGCCCAGACUCCUACGGGAGGCAGCAGUGGGGAAUUUUGGACAAUGGGCGAAAGCCUGAUCCAGCAGUGCCGCGUGUGUGAAGAAGGCCUCGGUGUAAG
rnacentral:rRNA from 1 species